AUUGAACGCUGGCGGUAGGCCUAACACAUGCAAGUCGAACGAGUGGCGGACGGGUGAGGAAUACAUCGGAAUCUACUCUGUGGUGGGGGAUAACGUAGGGAAACUUUCGCUAAUACCGCAUACCAUCGAAUGUGCCGAUGUGGGAUUAGCUAGUUGGUGGGGUAAAGGCCCACCUAGGCGACGAUCCGUAGCUGGUCUGAGAGGAUGAUCAGCCACACUGGAACUGAGACACGGUCCAGACUCCUACGGGAGGCAGCAGUGGGGAAUAUUGGACAAUGGGCGCAAGCCUGAUCCAGCCAUGCCGCGUGGGUGAAGAAGGCCUUCGGGUUGUAAAGCCCUUUUGUUGGGAAAGCGGUACCCAAAGAAUAAGCACCGGCUAACUUCGUGCCAGCAGCCGCGGUAAUAC
rnacentral:rRNA from 1 species